UACGUAGGGAGCAAGCGUUGUCCGGAAUCAUUGGGCGUAAAGCGCGCGUAGGCGGCCCUGUAAGUCCGUUGUGAAAGUCAAAGGCUCAACCUUUGAAAGCCGAUGGAUACUGCAGGGCUAGAGUCCGGAAGAGGCGAGUGGAAUUCCUGGUGUAGCGGUGGAAUGCGCAGAUAUCAGGAGGAACACCAGUAGCGAAGGCAGCUCGCUGGGACGGUACUGACGCUAAGGCGCGAAAGCGUGGGGAGCGAACAGG
rnacentral:rRNA from 1 species